rnacentral:tRNA from 1 species
AAACUUAGGAUAAUUAAACCAAGGACCUUCAAAGCCCUAAACAUGAAAUAUAAACCUUCAUAG